AUUGAACGCUGGCGGCCGGCCUAACACAUGCAAGUCGAACGAGUGGCGGACGGGUGAGUAAUGUCUGGGAAACUGCCUGAUGGAGUGGGAUAACUACUGGAAACGGUAGCUAAUACCGCAUACCAUCGGAUGUGCCCAGAUGGGAUUAGCUAGUAGGUGGGGUAACGGCUCACCUAGGCGACGAUCCCUAGCUGGUCUGAGAGGAUGACCAGCCAGACUGGAACUGAGAUAAGGGCCAGACUGGUACGGGAGGGAGCAGUGGGGAAUAUUGCACAAUGGGGGCAAGCCUGAUGCAGGCAGGCCGCGGGUAUGAAGAAGGCAUUCGGGUUGUAAAGUACUUUCAGAGGGGAGGCGUUACCCGCAGAAGAAGCACCGGCUAACUCCGUGCCAGCCGCCGCGGUAAUUC
rnacentral:rRNA from 1 species